rnacentral:tRNA from 1 species
UCCUGGUUAGCUCAGUUGGUAGAGCGCUCCACUGGAAAUGGAGAGGUCCCGGGUUCGAUACCCGGACCAGGCG